ACUCCUGAGAAUCCCUCACCUCCGUAGGCCAACUGGACAGGGGAACACUAAUGGUUCGAUCACCAGCUACUGCACUGAGAUCACAGGGCUGUGUCCCAUAACCUGGAAAGCACUGUGCAAAAGCGUCAAUCAAUAAUGUCCCCAGCCCAUGGUCACAAAGCCAGCAUCGAGGGAGCAUUGCA
rnacentral:lncRNA from 1 species